UCAGUCAAUAAUGUAAAACAUAUGACUGAGCAAUGAUCUGUUCUCACUAUCACCGCUGGUUCUUUAUGAAAUCACUGCUAUGAUCCACACUGCAGUGGAGACUGGGGAUCCUGAAAUGAACUGACUGCAGACUGUAGUAUAAACUCUGGUAAAUAACAGGUAAGAAGCAAUAAUGGUCUUUAAUACAAUGAAAAUCUGCUCUCUCUCUCUGCAGAUCCUGUGAAGCGAGCUCCUAUCCCAAAACCACAAUGGCAGUGGCUGUGCAGUGCUGCAGCUGCUGUGACUCUGGACCCUGAUACAGCUCACUGUGGGCUCAGCCUGUCUGAGGAUGGGAAGAGAGUAAGACUGGGAGAGAGGAAGAGUCUCUCUGACAAUCCUCACAGAUUUGAUCUCUGGCCCUGUGUCGUGAGCAGGGAGGCCUUCACCUCAGGGAGACACUACUGGGAGGUGGAGGUGAAUCGAUACUGGAGAAUAGGAGUGACCAGAGAGUCUGCAGAGAGGAAAGGGGGGUUCAUGUUCUCUCCCCAGCAUGGUUAUUGGUGUCUGAAGUCUUAUUGGUCUGAUUUCUUUGCUCUCACUGACCCUCGGACCCGUCUCCCCCUCAGUCUGCGGCCCAGGAAGCUGGGGGUGUGUGUGGAUAUUGAGGAGAGGAAGGUCUCCUUUUACACAGUGGA